rnacentral:rRNA from 1 species
AUUGAACGCUGGCGGCAUGCUUUACACAUGCAAGUCGAACGGCAGCGCGGGCUUCGGCCUGGCGGCGAGUGGCGAACGGGUGAGUAAUACAUCGGAACGUGCCCAGUAGUGGGGGAUAGCUCGGCGGAAGCCGGAUUAAUACCGCAUACGACCUGAGGGUGAAAGCGGGGGAUCUUCGGACCUCGCGCUAUUGGAGCGGCCGAUGGCAGAUUAGCUAGUUGGUGGGGUAAAGGCCUACCAAGGCGACGAUCUGUAGCUGGUCUGAGAGGACGACCAGCCACACUGGGACUGAGACACGGCCCAGACUCCUACGGGAGGCAGCAGUGGGGAAUUUUGGACAAUGGGCGAAAGCCUGAUCCAGCAAUGCCGCGUGUGUGAUGAAGGCCUUCGGGUUGUAAAGCACUUUUGGCGGGAACGAAAAGGACUGUGCCAAUACCACGGUUCGAUGACGGUACCCGCAGAAUAAGCACCGGCUAACUACGU